rnacentral:rRNA from 1 species
GACGAACGCUGGCGGCGUGCCUAAUACAUGCAAGUCGAGCGAGCGGAACUAACAGAUUUACUUCGGUAAUGACGUUAGGAAAGCGAGCGGCGGAUGGGUGAGUAACACGUGGGGAACCUGCCCCAUAGUCUGGGAUACCACUUGGAAACAGGUGCUAAUACCGGAUAAGAAAGCAGAUCGCAUGAUCAGCUUUUAAAAGGCGGCGUAAGCUGUCGCUAUGGGAUGGCCCCGCGGUGCAUUAGCUAGUUGGUAAGGUAAAGGCUUACCAAGGCGAUGAUGCAUAGCCGAGUUGAGAGACUGAUCGGCCACAUUGGGACUGAGACACGGCCCGAACUCCUACGGGAGGCAGCAGUAGGGAAUCUUCCACAAUGGACGCAAGUCCGAUGGAGCAACGCCGCGUGAGUGAAGAAGGUUUUCGGAUCGUAAAGCUCUGUUGUUGGUGAAGAAGGAUAGAGGUAGUAACUGGCCUUUAUUUGACGGUAAUCAACCAGAAAGUCACGGCUAACUACGUGCCAGCAGCCGCGGUAAUACGUAGGUGGCAAGCGUUGUCCGGAUUUAUUGGGCGUAAAGCGAGCGCAGGCGGAAGAAUAAGUCUGAUGUGAAAGCCCUCGGCUUAACCGAGGAACUGCAUCGGAAACUGUUUUUCUUGAGUGCAGAAGAGGAGAGUGGAACUCCAUGUGUAGCGGUGGAAUGCGUAGAUAUAUGGAAGAACACCAGUGGCGAAGGCGGCUCUCUGGUCUGCAACUGACGCUGAGGCUCGAAAGCAUGGGUAGCGAACAGGAUUAGAUACCCUGGUAGUCCAUGCCGUAAACGAUGAGUGCUAAGUGUUGGGAGGUUUCCGCCUCUCAGUGCUGCAGCUAACGCAUUAAGCACUCCGCCUGGGGGGUACGACCGCAAGGUUGAAACUCAAAGGAAUUGACGGGGGCCCGCACAAGCGGUGGAGCAUGUGGGUUAAUUCGAAGCAACGCGAAGAACCUUACCAGGUCUUGACAUCUAGUGCCAUUUGUAGAGAUACAAAGUUCCCUUCGGGGACGCUGAGACAGGUGGUGCAUGGCUGUCGUCAGCUCGUGUCGUGAGAUGUUGGGUUAAGUCCCGCAGCGAGCGCAACCCUUGUUAUUAGUUGCCAGCAUUAAGUUGGGCACUCUAAUGAGACUGCCGGUGACAAACCGGAGGAAGGUGGGGAUGACGUCAAGUCAUCAUGCCCCUUAUGACCUGGGCUACACACGUGCUACAAUGGGCAGUACAACGAGAAGCGAGCCUGCGAAGGCAAGCGAAUCUCUGAAAGCUGUUCUCAGUUCGGACUGCAGUCUGCAACUCGACUGCACGAAGCUGGAAUCGCUAGUAAUCGCGGAUCAGCACGCCGCGGUGAAUACGUUCCCGGGCCUUGUACACACCGCCCGUCACACCAAGGGAGUCUGCAAUGCCCAAAGCCGGUGGCCUAACCUUCGGGAAGGAGCCGUCUAAGGCAGGGCAGAUGACUGGGGUGAAGUCGUAACAAGGUAGCCGUAGGAGAACC